rnacentral:rRNA from 1 species
UACGUAGGGUCCGAGCGUUGUCCGGAAUUACUGGGCGUAAAGAGCUCGUAGGUGGUUUGUCGCGUUGUUCGUGAAAACUCACAGCUCAACUGUGGGCGUGCGGGCGAUACGGGCAGACUGGAGUACUGCAGGGGAGACUGGAAUUCCUGGUGUAGCGGUGGAAUGCGCAGAUAUCAGGAGGAACACCGGUGGCGAAGGCGGGUCUCUGGGCAGUAACUGACGCUGGAGGAGCGAAAGCGUGGGGAGCGAACAGG